UACGGAGGGGACUAGCGUUGUUCGGAAUUACUGGGCGUAAAGCGUGCGCAGGCGGUUUUAUAAGUCUGAUGUGAAAUCCCCGGGCUCAACCUGGGAACUGCAUUGGAGACUGUAAGGCUAGAGUGUGUCAGAGGGGGGUAGAAUUCCACGUGUAGCAGUGAAAUGCGUAGAUAUGUGGAGGAAUACCGAUGGCGAAGGCAGCCCCCUGGGAUAACACUGACGCUCAUGCACGAAAGCGUGGGGAGCAAACAGG
rnacentral:misc_RNA from 1 species